UACCAGACUCCUACGGGAGGCAGCAGUGGGGAAUAUUGGGCAAUGGGCGAAAGCCUGACCCAGCAACGCCGCGUGAAGGAAGAAGGCUUUCGGGUUGUAAACUUCUUUUGACAGGGAAGAGCAGAAGACGGUACCUGUCGAAUAAGCCACGGCUAACUACGUGCCAGCAGCCGCGGUAAUACGUAGGGGGCAAGCGUUAUCCGGAUUUACUGGGUGUAAAGGGAGCGUAGACGGCAGUGCAAGUCUGAAGUGAAAGGCGGGGGCCCAACCCCCGAACUGCAUUUGAAACUGUUGGUCUUGAGUAUCGGAGAGGCAGGCGGAAUUCCUAGUGUAGCGGUGAAAUGCGUAGAUAUUAGGAGGAACACCAGUGGCGAAGGCGGCCUGCUGGACGACAACUGACGGUGAGGCGCGAAAGCGUGGGGAGCAAACAGGAUUAGAUACCCGUGUAU
rnacentral:rRNA from 1 species